rnacentral:rRNA from 1 species
UACGGAGGUGGCAAGCGUUGCUCGGAAUCACUGGGCGUAAAGGGCGCGUAGGCGGGGAGGUAAGUCGGGUGUGAAAUCCCUCGGCCCAACCGAGGAACUGCGCCCGAGACUGCUUCUCUUGAGUCCCGGAGAGGAAGAUGGAAUUCCCGGUGUAGCGGUGAAAUGUGUAGAGAUCGGGAGGAACACCGGUGGCGAAGGCGGUCUUCUGGACGGUGACUGACGCUGAGGUGCGAAAGCGUGGGGAGCAAACAGG